UACGUAGGGUGCGAGCGUUGUCCGGAUUUAUUGGGCGUAAAGAGCGCGUAGGCGGUUUGGUAGGUCCGCUGUGAAAACUCGAGGCUCAACCUCGAGACGCCGGUGGAAACCAUCAGACUAGAGUCCGGAAGAGGAGAGUGGAAUUCCUGGUGUAGCGGUGAAAUGCGCAGAUAUCAGGAAGAACACCCGUGGCUAAGGCGGCUCUCUAGUACGGUACUGACGCUGAGACGCGAAAGCGUGGGGAGCGAACAGG
rnacentral:rRNA from 1 species